ACGGGGGAUCAGGGUUCGAUUCCGGAGAGGGAGCCUGAGAAACGGCUACCACAUCCAAGGGAGGCAGCAGGCGCGAAAAUUACCCAAUCCAGACAAUGGGAGGUGGUGACGAAAAGUACCGAGUGGCGGGAUUUUCCUGCCGGCUUGGAAUGAAAACAAUUUAAGCAAUUGAAUUGAGUAACGACUGGAGGGCAAGUCUGGUGCCAGCAGCCGCGGUAAUUCCAGCUCCAGUGGCGUACCUCAACGUUGCUGCGCUUAAAACGCUCGUAGUUGGAUCACUCACUACGUAGUGGUGUGUCCGUUUUGGUGGUGUACUACUCGUCGCAUCGCUCGUCGAGUUUCUCGUCGUUGUCGAUGGACGAAGCAUUACCAUCGGACAGUUAGCUGCUACGUAGUAAUUGCGCGUGGGGACGGUUGUUAACCUUUGUUGCGUUGAUGGCUGUGUCUCACGGGGUGUGCCUUGAGUAAAUCAGAGUGCUUAAAGCAGGCGUUAUGCUUGAAUGUUGAUAGCAUGGAACGAACAAUCGUGUAUGGUGUGUACUGACAACGGUGUUGAGAUUUAUCUCGCACUGCAGUAUACGACACCGACCGCCAAUUACGGAUGUUGGUUCCGUAUUGGGGUACUGAUUAAGAGGAGCGGUUGGGGGCAUUGGUAUUUGGCAGCGAGAGGUGAAAUUCUUGGACCUGCUAAGGACUAACAAAUGCGAAAGGCAUCUGUCCAGACCGUAUCCAUUAAUCAAGAACGAAAGAGAGAGGUUCGAAGACGAUCAGAUACCGUCCUAGUU
rnacentral:rRNA from 1 species